rnacentral:tRNA from 1 species
GGGCCUGUAGCUCAGCGGUAGAGCGGCCGGCUCAUAACCGGCUGUGCGCAGGUUCGAAUCCUGCCGGGCCCA